ACGCUGGCGGCGUGCCUAACACAUGCAAGUCGUACGUGAAAAUUCGCUUCGGCGGAUGAGUAGAGUGGCGCACGGGUGAGUAACGCGUGGAUAAUCUGCCCUUUAGUCUGGAAUAACUCAUCGAAAGGUGGGCUAAUACCGGAUGAUGCUGUUCUUACUUCGGUGGAACAGCCAAAGAUGGCCUCUAUUUAUAAGCUUUCGCUAAAGGAUGAGUCCGCGUACCAUUAGCUAGUUGGCAGGGUAAUGGCCUACCAAGGCAACGAUGGUUAGCUGGUCUGAGAGGAUGACCAGCCACACUGGAACUGAGACACGGUCCAGACUCCUACGGGAGGCAGCAGUGAGGAGUCUUGCGCAAUGGGGGAAACCCUGACGCAGCAACGCCGCGUGAGCGAGGAAGGUCUUCGGAUCGUAAAGCUCUGUCGGGUGGAAAGAAAGGUACGAGUGCUAAUACCGCUCGUACUUGACGGUACCACCAGAGGAAGCACCGGCUAACUCCGUGCCAGCCGCCGCGGUAAUUCA
rnacentral:rRNA from 1 species